UGUGUCCACUCGUUCUAAGGCUCUCAGAAUAAGAUCCUUUGUAAGUGCCCAGUCGAUUAAAUAUCAAACUGCCUUUAUCUUGGGUGCUGGUAUUCCUGG
rnacentral:lncRNA from 1 species